rnacentral:rRNA from 1 species
UGCAGUCGUGCGANNNNUACCUUCGGGUACGAGUAGAGCGGCGGACGGGUGAGUAACGCGUAGGAAUCUACCUAGUAGAAGGGGAUAGCCCGAGGAAACUCGGAUUAAUACCGUAUACCUCCUUAGGGAGAAAGAGGGCUUAGCUUUGAUGCUCUCGCUAUUAGAUGAGCCUGCGUAAGAUUAGCUAGUUGGUGAGGUAAUGGCUCACCAAGGCAACGAUCUUUAGCUGGUCUGAGAGGACGAUCAGCCACAUUGGGACUGAGACACGGCCCAGACUCCUACGGGAGGCAGCAGUGGGGAAUAUUGGACAAUGGGCGCAAGCCUGAUCCAGCCAUACCGCGUGUGUGAAGAAGGCUUUCGGGUUGUAAAGCACUUUAAGUAAGGAGGAAAAGGUUAUAGAUAAUACCUGUAACCCGUGACGUUACUUACAGAAUAAGGACCGGCUAAUUCCGUGCCAGCAGCCGCGGUAAUACGGAAGGUCCAAGCGUUAAUCGGAAUUACUGGGCGUAAAGGGCGCGUAGGUGGUUUAUUAAGUUGGAUGUGAAAGCCCUGGGCUCAACCUAGGAACUGCAUCCAAAACUAGUUCACUAGAGUACGAAAGAGGGAAGUAGAAUUCACAGUGUAGCGGUGGAAUGCGUAGAUAUUGUGAAGAAUACCAAUGGCGAAGGCAGCUUCCUGGUUCUGUACUGACACUGAGGUGCGAAAGCGUGGGUAGCGAACAGGAUUAGAUACCCUGGUAGUCCACGCCGUAAACGAUGACAACUAGCUGUUGGAAAACAAUAGUUUUUCAGUGGCGCAGCUAACGCAAUAAGUUGUCCNCCUGGGGAGUACGGCCGCAAGGUUAAAACUCAAAUGAAUUGACGGG